rnacentral:rRNA from 1 species
AUGUCUACGGUGGAAGAUGAAGAUAUGUUGUACCCAACUGAGUUUCUGAAUAGUCUUACAUUUUCUGGAAUACCAGACCAUGAACUGAGGCUGAAAGUAGGAUUACCAAUAAUGCUUAUGAGGAACAUCAAUCAAAGUGCGGGACUUUGCAAUGGGACAAGACUAAUAAUAACACAGCUAGGAAAGCGUUUCAUUGAAGGCCAGGUCAUAACAUGUCCUAACGUUGGUGACAAAGUUUACAUCCCACGAAUUAUCAUGUCACCAAGUGAUUCAAAAUGGCCUUUCAUUCUGAAAAGGAGACAAUACCCAAUAUCAGUGUGCUUUGCUAUGACUAUAAACAAAAGCCAGGGGCAAUCUCUCAAAAAAGUUGGACUCUACUUAGAAAGGCAAGUGUUCACACAUGGACAACACUAUGUUGCAAUGUCAAGGGUGACCAGCAGAAAUGGAUUGAAGAUACUCAUCUCAGAUGAAGAGCGUCCAUCCGACAAGGUUGCAAAAAACAUUGUUUACAAGGAUAUAUUAUAG